GUCCAGCUGAUGAGUCUCAAAUCGAACGAAACGCACAUCCUGGAU
rnacentral:hammerhead_ribozyme from 1 species